rnacentral:misc_RNA from 1 species
UCCGGCUUGUCGCCGGCGGUCCCUCUAGAGUGCCCUUGCGUAGCAACUAGGGACAAGGGUUGCGCUCGUUGCGGGACUUGACCCAACAUCUCACGACACGAGCUGACGACAGCCAUGCAGCACCUGUGUGUCGGCUCCCUUUCGGGCACCCCCACAUCUCUGCAGGGUUCCGACCAUGUCAAGGGUAGGUAAGGUUAUUCGCGUUGCAUCGAAUUAAUCCACAUCAUCCACCGCUUGUGCGGGUCCCCGUCAAUUCCUUUGAGUUUUAGCCUUGCGGCCGUACUCCCCAGGCGGGAUGCUUAACGCGUUAGCUACGUUGCCGCAGGGGUCAAUACCCGCGACGACUAGCUUCCAUCGUUUACGGCGUGGACUAC